rnacentral:rRNA from 1 species
UACGUAGGGUGCAAGCGUUAAUCGGAAUUACUGGGCGUAAAGCGUGCGCAGGCGGUUGUGCAAGACAGAUGUGGAAUCCCCGGGCUCAACCUGGGAAUUGCAGCUGUGACUGCACGGCUAGAGUGUGUCAGAGGGGGGUAGAAUUCCACGUGUAGCAGUGAAAUGCGUAGAGAUGUGGAGGAAUACCGAUGGCGAAGGCAGCCCCCUGGGAUAACACUGACGCUCAUGCACGAAAGCGUGGGGAGCAAACAGG